rnacentral:sRNA from 1 species
GUGGUAUAUUGGGUCCAGCUUUCAUAAUGAUGGUAAACAUAUUCAUUCCGACACUAUGAAUAUGUUUACCAUCAUUAUGAAAGCUGGACCCAAUAUACCA